AUCGAUGACAAUAUUGUUUUAACAUCAAAAAAAAAUUUUUAAUUUAUAAGUAUUUUAAAGGGGUUAUUAAGGAUAACUAGCAAAUUUAUAAAAAAGGAGGUUUAUAACCAAAUGCCUACAUUUAAAGUAAAUUGAUUUAUAUAUUAAUAAUUCUUUAAGAAAGUAACAUAAAAUAAUUUACAAGCUAUUAUGUUAUAAUUAAUUUUGAUAUUUUUAAUAUAUUAAUUAAUUGAUAUUAAUACGGGGCGAUCCUAAGGGAAACCCUUUGUACCAACUUCCCGAAGUAAAACAUUUCAUUAGGGAAAGGAAAGGAAAUCAACCGAGACUCCGAAAGUAAUGGUGAGUGAAAUCGGACUAGCCCUUCCAGAUUAUACAUAAAUAAAAACAAUUAUAAUUCUAGUAAAAAAUAAUUAACCCUUUAUCAAAUUAUAUUAAUUUCAUUAUAUAAUAUAAUAGAUUAAUAUAGUUUUAAUAAAGACAAAAUGAAAUAAUUAACUAAAUAAUUAUUUAAUUUGAAUGAUUAAAUAUUUACAAAAAUAUUAAAAUUUUUAUAAUUGAUUAUAAUUAAAAUCAUAUAUUUACAAAUAUAAAAAUAAAAUUAUUAAAAAAACUUUUAAUAAGUAAUAAAAUUUAUAAUGAAAUAUCUGAUAAUAAUUAAAAAGAUUAUAACAAAAUUAGUAUGAGUAUUAAAUAUUAAAUGAUUAUUUUUAAUAAAACUUAGAAUAGAAAUGUAAUAACAUAAUAUUAAAUAUAAGGUGUGAAGGAAAGAUGAGACCUGUAUUUUUAUGUAUAUGAGAUAAAUAUAUAGAAAUAUAUAUUAAUUGGAUUGAUUAUUACGAUGAAAGUCGGAAUCUUUAUUUCAACCCGCCGCUAAUUGAAAUAUGGAAAUAAUCAUAAGUACGACGAGAGAUAACUUGUCGGAAUAUAGGGGAACCAUCCUCUAAGGCUAAGUAUGUAUAAAUUUAGCGAUAGUGAAAAGUACCGUGAGGGAACAGUUGAAAAGAGCGACUUAUUAAUAGAAAUUAGAAUAAAAAAGAAAUAAAGAUAUUCGAAAGUAUUAAUAAUGAAAAGUAUGAUACGCAGUGAAAUAGAUCUUGAAUUAGUAACUCUAUAAGCAGUCAAAAUUCUACUAUUAGAAUGAUGGCGUACCUUUUGCAUAAUGGGUCAGCAAGUUAAUAGGAGUAGCAAGGUUAAUAGCCUAAGCGAAAGCGACUAUCUCAUAACAAAUUUAAGUAAAAUUUAAGAAAUGAUAUGGGUUAAGUUACUUCUAUUAGACCCGAAGCCAGGUGAUCUUUCCUAUACCAGAUAAAAUGAUCGAACGGGUGAAUGUUGCAUAAUUCUCCGAAGAGUAUUGGAAAGCGGUGAAAUGCCAAUCUGACCUGGUGAUAGCUGGUUUUCUACGAAACAUAUUUCAGUAUGACAUCUACAAUAAUAUUUAUGAAGGUACAGCACUUAAUUCCCAACAAGUAUUAAAUAAUAAAUAUAUGUUUGUUUUUUAAUAGGAGUUUAGGUUGCGGAGACCUCGAAAAUCUUACCAAUGGAAAUAAAUCUCGGAAUUGCAUAAAUUGGUGGUAGAUAUUCAGACUAUUCAUGCUAAGUUGGAUAGUCAAGACGGAAACAGCCGUGAACACAGAUUAAGGUCCCAAAUGAUUAUUCAGUGAAAUAAAGGAAGUGGUUAGUUGAAUGCAGUUGAAAAGUGAGCUUGGCAGUCGCUACUUAUAAUGAACGUGUAAUAACGUAUCAGCCCUGAGAUAAUUGCUCCGAAAAUUUAACGGGUCUUAAAUAAUCAACCGAUAUCGUGUUAAUUUUAAAAAUAAAUCCCUAAUUUUAAUAAUAAAUUAUUUAUUGAUUAAUUUAAAUUAAAAUAUUUUUGUUUUUUGUUUUUUAUUUAUUAUCUUUUUCUAUUUUUAUUUUGUUUAAUUUUAUAUAAAAUUUUUAACUAAAAUUCUUUUUAUUUUUAAAUUAUUAAUAAUCAAUAUUUAAUAAAUUAUUAAUCUUAAAUUUCUCUUUAAAAUCUAGGUAGUAGAACAUUCAGAUAAUUUUAAAAAGUUUAAAUCAACUCAAACCUAAAAUUGACAGUGUUUCAUUGUUAAUAGGAAUCUGAAGAGAUAAUGCUGACAUGAGUAACGUAAAAAGAAAGUAAAAUCUUUCUCGCCGAAUACGAAAGGGUUAUUAGCAAAGAUUGAAUCUACUAAUGUUAUACGGUUUCUAAGGUUUAAAACAUUGUUUUGACUGAUGAAUUAUUAUAUUAAAGUCCAUGGAGAGUAUUAUUUAUACAGAAUGAAGUGUAGAAUUUUAAAGGGAUAUAAAAUUUAAACUAAACUAAAUUUUCAAAAUACUUUAAGAGUAAAAUAAAUUAAUUAACAAUUUUUGUUUUUUAAUUUGUUUUUUUGUUUACAUGGAAAGAAGAUUAAAAGGAUAAAGUUAAGGCAUUAGCUUUUUAAUAUUGAAAUAUUCUGUAUUAACUUAAGUGAAUAUGAGAGUUAAUUGUAUUUUUAUAAUAUUAGUUUGGUUUUUUAAUAAUAUUAUAGAGCUUUAUAUAAGCAAUAAUAUAUUAGAUAAUACUGAUAUUGGACCAGGAAAAAAAUAUAUUAUUUAUUAAUAAUAUUAAUAAUUUAGUCUUAAAUUUUAAGAGCUUAGAAGUGAAUAUUUCUAAUAAUUCUAUCAAAAAUAGAUUAUAUAUAUAUAUAUAUUUUUAUAUAUUAUACUUAUUAUAUAAUCUUGUUAAGCAAAAAUAUUAAAUUCAGUAUAAUAUAGUAAGUUUAUAUUAUAGGUUUGUUCUAAAUUUAAAUAAUUUUAUUUCUAGAUAUUAAAGAUAAAAUUUACCGUACCCUAAACCGACACAGGUUCGUAGGUAGAGUAUACUAAGGCGCAGAGCUAAAAGUUGUUAAGGAACUCGGCAAAUUAUCCUCAAAAGUUAGACGAAAAGAGGAGACCAAUUUGCUAUUAAUAAUAAUAUUUCUUACUCCUAUUAUUUAUAUAAUUGGUCAAAGAAAAUUGGAAGCCCCGACUGUUUACUAAAAACACAGCUGUCUGCAAUGAUGGAAAUCAUAGUAUAGAUAGCGAGGUUUGCCCGAUGCCAUAAACAUAAGAUAAUUUUAAUAAUAAUGUUAAAUAUCGAAAGUCUGGUUAAUAGCGGUCUUAACUAUGAGGAUCCAAAGGUAGCAAAAUAAAUUGGCCAUUAAAUGUGGUCCGGUAUCAAUAAUUUAACGAUGGCUUCACUGUCUCUACAACUUGCUCAGUGAAAUUGAAUUGCGAGUGCAGAUGCUCGCUGCCCGAAAGAGGACGGGAAGACCCUAUGCAGCUUUACUGUAUUCAGUUAUCACAUCAAAAGCUUUAUUACCUCGGUUAUAUAGAUAAUAGGGAGUCGAAUAUGACGAUUAUGGAAAACCUUAGGUCUGAGGUGAAGCCGAUGUUUAUCUUUGUUUUAACAAAAAUUUAAUAAGAAACAGCUGACUGAUUGGCAGUUUGACUGGGGCGGUCGUCUUUAAUAGAGUAGCAAAGUACAUCCAAAUAGAUUUUAAUUGAAAUCUAAUUAAAACAUAUUAACAUUAAUCAAAAAGUAAUUGGUGGAAACUGAUUAUAAUUCCCUAUUGUUUAUUAUUAUUAUUAAUUAAUAAUAAUUACUUUAAAAAUAAUUUUUGUUUUAAUGGUUUAAAUUAGAUAUAUUUAUUUAAUAAGGUAUGCUAGAAGUUAAAUGGAAGUUAAUGAACCAGUGAUAAGGUUAUGGAGGGUGCAAUGGCGGUAAGCAUGCUUAACUGAAAGACUUAAUAGUCAAACAGAUACGUAAGUAGGGCAUAGUGACCCCUUGCUAUAUUAUGGAAUAGACAGGGAUCAAUUGAUAAAAGUUACGCUAGGGAUAACAGCCUAAUAGCCAGCGAGAGUACACAUUGUCCUGGCUGUUUGGGACCUCGAUGUCGACUUAACGUAUCCUCCAAGUGUAGAAGCGUGGAAGGGUUCGGCUGUUCGCCGAUUAAAACGUUACAUGAGUUGGGUUUAAUACGACGUGAGUCAGUAUGGUCCCUAUCCUUUUUGGGUAUAAAUAGUAAACAGGGGGAGACCUUCUAGUACGAAAGGACCAAUUGGCUGUGUUUCUAUAGUGUACCAAUUGUUAGUACGGUAAUUAAAGGGUUGGAAGAGAAAUCUGAAAGCUUGGAGAUUACCAGAAUGCAUAGUUGGGUAGCCACAAACAUAUUAGAUAAAAGCUGAAAGCAUAUCAAGUUUGAAUCUAUCCCCUAGAUACUAUCAGUUGGAGAUACUUUGUUAUUACCUUGGGUAUGGUUUACAUUUUUUGUUUAUCAUUUCUUGAAAACCUAAGAAAUAUAAAAUAUAUAUUACAUUUUAUAAUUA
rnacentral:rRNA from 1 species